GGAGAUAUGACUGAGAGGUUUAUAGUAUUCCCCUGCUAAGGGAAAAUACAACAACAUUGUAUCAUAGGUUCAAAUCCUAUUAUCUCCU
rnacentral:tRNA from 1 species